CCAGGAUUCUAGCCUAAUGCCUUGCCAGGUAGAUGACAUUGUCUCCCAUUAAAGUUGAUUACCGUCUAGUCAAAGGAGAUUGAACUUGGUAUAUUCAGAAGUGAAUGCUUGUGCUUCCAGAGCCUGAGCUAAAAAAGCUGAAGUAGACAACUGUGAAAUACUUGCAUCAUCUGUGGGUCAGGCAUAGGGAAGCACAGUGGCCAAAGGUAUAUGGAAGAUUUUGGAAAUCUUGAUGCUCAGCAACUGUUUUGUCCAGUUGCCAUGGACAGAACAAAGAAAGAAAUCUGACAACUAUAGAACGAAAAAGAAAAUACUGAAAUUAUUCCAGUUUAAGUUAACAAUAGAUUUAAGUGCUUUCCUCACUCUCCUAAUUUAAGACAAGCUCUGAACUGUCUUAUAUCCAGUGAAGUUGGUAGUGAGUUUGGCCAAUUUUUCUUCAGCACCCCAAUAAAACUUGUGUGUAAGUUUGAAUAACAAUAACAAUAUGUUUAUCUAUGUAUACAUAUAGAAACUAUGAGAUGGAAAUACAUAAAUGUAUCCAUCCAAAAUUUUUCUUCUGAAAAUUUGGAUGAUUUUACCAUUAUGUUGCAACGUGAAUAUAAUUGCCUUAUAGAACUGGAACUAUACAAUUAGAGAUUGAGAUAUAUGAGAUAUAUAUGCAACACUGUCAUGUAGAAAAUGUAUACCAGUUCUUGUGCCACAUUAUCACCACAGGGUACUGUCAGUGGUGUGAGUGAAGAGAUAGCCAAACAAUAAGCACAAAUAAGAAACAUUUUCAUAGCUA